UCGGGAAUUUUGGGCAAUGGGGGCAACCCUGACCCAGCAACGCCGCGUGAGGGAUGAAGGCCCUCGGGUCGUAAACCUCUGUCGGGAGGGAAGAAAGGGCCGUGGUCGAAUAGGCCACGGUCUUGACGGUACCUCCAAAGGAAGGUCCGGCUAACUCCGUGCCAGCAGCCGCGGUAAUACGGAGGGUCCAAGCGUUGUUCGGAAUUAUUGGGCGUAAAGCGGGUGUAGGCGGUCGGGCAAGUCGGAUGUGAAAUCCCGGGGCUCAACCCCGGAACUGCAUUCGAAACUGCUCGUCUAGAGUCCCGGAGAGGGUGGCAGAAUUCCCGGUGUAGGGGUGAAAUCCGUAGAUAUCGGGAGGAAUACCAGUGGCGAAGGCGGCCACCUGGACGGUGACUGACGCUCAGACCCGAAAGCGUGGGGAGCAAACAGGAUUAGAUACCCCGGUAGUCC
rnacentral:rRNA from 1 species